rnacentral:rRNA from 1 species
AUUGAACGCUGGCGGCAGGCCUAACACAUGCAAGUCGAACGCGUGGCGGACGGGUGAGUAAUGUCUGGGAAACUGCCUGAUGGCGGGGGAUAACUACUUGAAACGGUAGCUAAUACCCCAUACCAUCAGAUGUGCCCAGAUGGGAUUAGCUUGUUGGUGGGGUAACGGCUCACCACGGGGACGAUCCCUAGCUGGUCUGAGAGGAUGACCAGCCACAAUGGAACUGAGACACGGUCCAGACUCCUACGGGAGGCAGCAGUGGGGAAUAUUGCACAAUGGGGGAAAGCCUGAUGCAGCCAUGCCGCGUGUAUGAAGAAGGCCUUCGGGUUGUAAAGUACUUUCAGCGGGGAGGCGUUACCCGCAGAAGAAGCACCGGCUAACUCCGUGCCAGCCGCCGCGGUAAUAC